AGGACGAACGCUGGCGGCGUGCUUCACACAUGCAAGUCGAGCGAGGCCCUUCCUUCGGGAAGGUGCCCUAGCGGCGAACGGGUGAGUAACACGUGGGCAACCUGCCCCUGACUCUGGGAUAAGCCCGGGAAACCGGGUCUAAUACCGGAUACGAACCCACCAGGCAUCUGGUGGGUUGGAAAGAUUUAUCGGUCAGGGAUGGGCCCGCGGCCUAUCAGCUUGUUGGUGGGGUAAUGGCCCACCAAGGCGACGACGGGUA
rnacentral:rRNA from 1 species